AGACCAAGACACAUAAAGCCGGAGAUGUCGUGGAGCUGCCGAUAAUAACAACGACGAAACGCGUGUGAAGAAUUAUACACAGUAGAUUCGCGAGAUAACCGGGGAUUUAUCAAGCUGCAGUCGUUGAACCACCGGCCAUUAAGAUGCGCAUGUCUAGUUCAAGGUCACCAAUAUCCUAGAAAUUUCAAGUUCAUGAGUGCAUUAGUAAAUCAAUACCUUUGUUUACAUCUUAUGUUUACCUUUCACUUCCGCUCAAUUUUCUGCUGUUUAAUUAAAUCACGGUAUUAAACAAUUAAGAUUUA